AUACGUAGGGGGCGAGCGUUGUCCGGAAUGAUUGGGCGUAAAGGGCGCGUAGGCGGCCCGGUAAGUCUGGAGUGAAAGUCCUGUUUUUAAGAUGGGCAUUGCUUUGGAUACUGUCGGGCUUGAGUGCAGGAGAGGCAAGUGGAAUUCCCAGUGUAGCGGUGAAAUGCGUAGAGAUUGGGAGGAACACCAGUGGCGAAGGCGACUUACUGGAGUCGAACGGACGCUGAGGCGCGAAAGUGUGGGGAGCAAACAGGAUUAGAUACCCUGGUAGUCCCAACUGUAACCGAUGAAUGCUAGGUGUAGGGGGGUAUCCACCCCUUCUGCGCCGCAGUCAACACAAUAAGGAUUCCGCCUUGGGAGUACGGCUGCAAGGUUGAAGCUCAAAGGAAUUGACGGGG
rnacentral:rRNA from 1 species